CUGGAGUAGAGUGACCCUGGGCAGAGGAUCAUGAUGAAGACCAUUACUGACAAGGUACCUCAGGAAGGACAGCAAGGAGUCUGGACAGAAGUGGCUGCCCUAGGAAGAUGAAGGCAGCAGCUGCAGGAGUGGAAGGAAUAAGGAGGGCAUUUGCAAUGAGAGCAGCAGCCCCUGUGAGAAGGCAGGGCAAGGCUUGCUCUACUGCCUCUGCUGAAGGCUGUAUCAAAGAGCAAUCACCAAGCCUGCAGGUUAUUCUAGUGACUCCUGGCGCUACAGUUAGUACAGAGUCUUCAAAGUAUUGAUGAAACAAUAAAAAUAUGACUUUUAAGAAAAGAGAGAUAACUUCAUCUGCACAUUAUUUCCUCAAGAGAAUGGAGAGUGUGGUGGUGUUGAAACAAGGCUGCAUGUUCUUUGACAAUCUUCCUACAAAGGCAUGAUCUCUUAAUAUGGAAGCAAGAUUCUUCUCAGCAGAUUUAAAACUUCACAGCUACAAAAAUAACAGAAAUAGGGAUACUUCCUCUCCCACUCAAUUAUUCCACCCUACAUCCCUGAGGCAUCUACGAUUGGUUCUGAUAUUUCAUGUGCUAAAUUUUGCUAGGUUCAACCACUAAAUAAAGCUUGGAUUCAAGGAUUGGU